CAGCCGCCGCGGUAAUACGUGGGGUGCGAGCGUUAAUCGGAAUUACUGGGCGUAAAGCGUGCGCAGGCGGUUGUGUAAGACAGGUGUGAAAUCCCCGGGCUUAACCUGGGAACUGCGCUUGUGACUGCACGGCUAGAGUAUGGCAGAGGGGGGUGGAAUUCCACGUGUAGCAGUGAAAUGCGUAGAGAUGUGGAGGAACACCGAUGGCGAAGGCAGCCCCCUGGGCCAAUACUGACGCUCAUGCACGAAAGCGUGGGGAGCAUACAGGAUUAGAUACCCCGGUAGUCCCUGUCUCUUAUAA
rnacentral:rRNA from 1 species